UAGAAGAUAGUAUAAGGGAUGUACGUGGAUUUUUGAAGUCUUAAGUGUGGGUUCAAAUCCCAUUUUUCUAA
rnacentral:tRNA from 1 species